CACGUAGGGCGCAAGCGUUGUCCGGAAUUAUUGGGCGUAAAGAGCUCGUAGGCGGACUGUCACGUCUGCUGUGAAAAGCUGGGGCUUAACCCUGGCCUUGCAGUGGAUACGGGCAGACUAGAGGUAGGUAGGGGAGAAUGGAAUUCCCGGUGUAGCGGUGAAAUGCGCAGAUAUCGGGAGGAAUACCGGUGGCGAAGGCGGCAUCCUGGACCGACAUUGACGCUGAGGAGCGAAAGCCAGGGAGCAACGGGAUUAAGAUGACCCGGUAGUC
rnacentral:rRNA from 1 species